GAUGAACGCUGGCGGCGUGCCUAAUACAUGCAAGUCGAGCGAACAGACGAGAGUGCUUGCACUCUCUGACGUUAGCGGCGGACGGGUGAGUAACACGUGGGUAACCUACCUAUAAGACUGGGAUAACUUCGGGAAACCGGAGCUAAUACCGGAUAAUAUUUAGCUUCGCAUGAAGCAAUAGUGAAAGACGGUUCUGCUGUCACUUAUAGAUGGACCCGCGGUGUAUUAGCUAGUUGGUGAGGUAACGGCUCACCAAGGCAACGAUACAUAGCCGACCUGAGAGGGUGAUCGGCCACACUGGGACUGAGACACGGACCAGACUCCUACGGGAGGCAGCAGUAGGGAAUCUUCCGCAAUGGACGAAAGUCUGACGGAGCAAUGCCGCGUGAGUGAAGAAGGUUUUCGGAUCGUAAAACUCUGUUGUAAGGGAAGAACAAGUACGUUAGUAACUGAACGUACCUUGAUGGUACCUUACCAGAAAGCCACGGCUAACUACGUG
rnacentral:rRNA from 1 species